CGGCGCACGGGUGAGUAACACGUAGGUAACCUACCUCCGAGUUCGGGAUAACCUGUCGAAAGAUAGGCUAAUACCGGAUAAGACCACGAUGGCUUCGGCCACUGCGGUCAAAGAUGGCCUCUAUUUAUACGCUAUCGCUUGGGGAUGGGCCUGCGCACCAUUAGCUAGUUGGUGAGGUAACGGCUCACCAAGGCUACGAUGGUUAGUUGGUCUGAGAGGAUGACCAGCCACACUGGGACUGAGACACGGCCCAGACUCCUACGGGAGGCAGCAGUGGGGAAUAUUGCGCAAUGGGGGAAACCCUGACGCAGCGACGCCGCGUGGGUGAUGAAGGCCUUCGGGUCGUAAAGCCCUGUCGGAGGGGAAGAAGGACUCUCGUGCAAAUAGUUCGAGGGUUUGACGGUACCCUUAGAGGAAGCACCGGCUAACUCCGUGCCAGCAGCCGCGGUAAUACGGAGGGUGCAAGCGUUGCUCGGAAUUACUGGGCGUAAAGGGCGUGUAGGCGGUUUCGUAUGUCUGGCGUGAAAGCCCCGGGCUCACCUCGGGAAGUGCGUCGGAAACUGUGAGACUAGAGUCCCGGAGAGGGAGGUGGAAUUCCAGGUGUAGCGGUGAAAUGUGUAGAUAUCUGGAAGAACACCGGUGGCGAAAGCGGCCUCCUGGACGGUGACUGACGCUGAGACGCGAGAGCGUGGGGAGCAAAC
rnacentral:rRNA from 1 species